ACUAUAGACACAGAGCAUGAAAUGUGAAAGCUUUGUUUACUGGCUAUGAACAAAGUUUUCUUCUUUUAUCUACUCUGUUUAAUCCCACUGAAAGCUUUCAUCAAAGAACUGCCUUUCUAUAUCUUCCUGUCACAGUCCCACCAGUAAUAACUCUACAUUUAAUCAUUUUCUUCUCUUUUUUUCUUGAUAGACAGACAACAAGCUUAGAGAGAGAGAGAGAGAGUGUGUGCGCGCGCGCGCUUGUGUUUGUGUUCGUCUCUCUACUACCUUAAAAAACACAACAAUGGCCGCCUUUACCAACAUUCUCUUUCUUCUCUCCCUCCUUUUCACCACCACCUCCUCCACACUCCACCGUCAUCUCCUUCACCAACCCUUUUUCCCUCUUACUGCCACCGCCCCUCCUAUCCAACCUCCUUCUCCUUCUCCCCAAGCUCAACCUCUGCCUCAAACCCAACCAAAAU
rnacentral:misc_RNA from 1 species